AGAACGAACGCUGGCAGCGUGGAUUAGGCAUGCAAGUCGAACGGGAUCCGGGGAAUAGCAAUAUUUCCUGGUGAGAGUGGCGGAUUGGGGAGGAACACGUGAGCAACCUGCCCUGGAGAUGUGGAAAACCGUUGGAAACGACGGCUAAUACAGAAUGUGGCGUCCGAUGGCAUCAUCGGAACGCCGAAGGGGGCCCCCAAAGGCUCCCGCUCCGGGAUGGGCUCGCGCACCAUCAGCUUGUUGGCGGGGUAACGGCCCACCAAGGCUUACGGUUAGCUGGUCUGAGAGGAUGACCAGCCCCACUGGGACUGAGAUACUGCCCAGACUCCUACGGGAGGCUGCAGUCGAGGAUCAUUCGCAAUGGGCGAAAGCCUGACGAUGCGACGCUGCGUGGAGGAUGAAGGCCUUCGGGUUGUAAACUCCUGUCAUGGGGGAAGAGGCGAGGGGACCCAACACGUCCCUUAGUUGACUGUACCCCAAGAGGAAUGGGCGGCUAACUCUGUGCCAGCCGCCGC
rnacentral:rRNA from 1 species